GCUCGCAUCCCAUCGGCCCUGGCGCUCGGGGCGGAAACAGGCGCAGUGGUGACUUUCUGGCCUGCGGCGCCUAUGCUCCCCUAUCCCGGCUGACGUUGGACAACAAAGAUGGCGGCAGGAACCAGCAAUUACUGGGAAGAUCUCAGGAAACAGGCUCGACAGCUGGAAAAUGAACUUGACCUGAAACUAGUUUCCUUCAGCAAACUAUGUACAAGUUACAGUCAUAGCAGUGCCCGAGAUGGAAGACGCGACAGGUAUAGUUCUGAUACAACACCCCUUUUAAAUGGAUCAAGCCAAGACAGAAUGUUUGAGACAAUGGCAAUUGAGAUUGAACAACUUUUGGCAAGGCUUACAGGGGUAAAUGAUAAAAUGGCAGAAUAUACCAACAGUACAGGUGUCCCCUCCUUGAAUACGGCCCUGAUGCAUACAUUACAACGACAUAGAGACAUACUGCAGGAUUAUACACAUGAAUUUCAUAAAACCAAAGCAAAUUUUACGGCAAUACGGGAAAGGGAGAAUCUCAUGGGAUCAGUACGGAAAGAUAUUGAGUCAUAUAAAAGUGGAUCUGGAGUAAACAACAGAAGAACUGAGCUAUUUUUGAAAGAACAUGACCACCUUCGAAACUCAGAUCGUCUGAUAGAAGAGACAAUAAGCAUUGCUAUGGCAACAAAAGAAAAUAUGACUUCACAGAGAGGAAUGUUGAAGUCAAUUCACAGCAAAAUGAACACUUUGGCCAGAUUAUUAAUACUUCCCAGAAACUCACUAGGGAACCAGAAAAGCCUGGCACUCUGAGUCAUUUGAUUCGCCGAACCUCUGAAAAAGACAAGCCUUCUAGGUGAAAAAGCUUUCCUCCCCCAGCUGCCAAAUGGGGAGGGGCCUAGAAUUUUCAAAAUUGAGUAUCUUGUCGUCCUAGAUAAGUUAAGGUCACUUUUAGUUUGAUGUGUUUUUGCCUGAGGAAAAGACUAUCCUGAUGUGUGCUGUUAUUCUCCAGUCUGUUGUGAAUUCUGUUCUUGCCUUGUCACCCUAAGUAUAAAACUGCACGUACAAAAUCACAUUUUAUAUAGAGCUAUAAAAUUUACAGAGUGCUGUUAUAUACAUUAUCUCAUUUUACUAAAUUAUGAACUCAAUUGCCAGCCAGAACAAAAGCUAGUUAGUGAAUACAAGAGUUUUAUUUAGUGAAACUUUUGAAACUUUGGAAUAGAAGAGGGAGUCAAAUAACUGGUGAUGUGAAACACUGAAGCUUUUUUCAGUUGUUCCUUAAAACUUACCACACUCUUCUUCAUGACCUCUUCUCUACUACUCUGUACACUUCUCUAAGUUCUCUCUCUCUCUUUUUUUUUCUUUUUGCAUGUAUACUUUUUUUUUUUUUUUUUUGAGACAGAGUGUCACUCUAUCACCCAGGCUGGAGUGCAGUGAUGCAAUCUCAGCUCACUGCAACCUCUGUCUCCUGGGUUGAAGCAAUUCUCCUGCCUCAGCCUCCCGAGUAGCUGGGACUAUUGGCCAGGCUGGUCUCGAACUCCUGACCUUGUGUUCCACCCACCUUGGCCUCCCAGAGUGCUGGGAUUACAGGUGUGCACCACUGUGCCUCAGCCACUCUCUUUUUUUUUUUUUUUUUUUUAAGACAGAGUCUCACCCUGUUAACCACCCAGGCUGGAAUACAAUGGCACAAUCUCAGCUCACUGCAACCUCCAAACUCCCAGGUUCAUGCAAUCCUCCCGACUCAGCCUUCCGAGUAGCUGGGACUACAGACGUGUGUCACCACGCCUGGCUAAUUUUUGUAUAUUUUGUAGAGACAGGGUUUCACCAUGUUGACCAGGUGGGUCUUGAACUCCAAAUCUCAAACAAUCCUUCAGCCUUGGCCUCCCAAAGUACUAGGAUUACAGGUGUGAGCCACCCUGCCCAGCCCAACCCUAAGUUCUCUUAAGGCAAAGCAGUAUACUGCAACCUAGCAAAGUGCCUCAUACAAAUUAGUCACUUAGGAAAUUUACAGUUACUCCAAAAGAAUGUGUGUUCAAAAAAAGGAAAAUCAAACGAAAUGGGUGUGGGUUAGUCAGGGCCCCAAAGAGAGGUAGUCACAGUAACCUAAGACUGACUUAAGAGAGGAAAGAAAGGACUCAAUUUGUUCAUGUAACUGUAGAAUUCAGGGGUAAAAUUUGGCUUAAGGCAUAGCUGGAUUCAGAAGCUGAGAUUUUAUCAGCAAGAAUCUCCCUUUCCUCCCUCUUUUUGUUCCCUUUCUUUCCCAUCGCUUAUCUCAGCUUUCCUCUGUGUUAGUCUGUUUCUCCAGGCAGCCCUUCUCUGAGGGUGAUGAAGAUGGCUGUAAUAGGGUCCCAAGAAUCCCCUCGGAGAAAGGGUGUCUUCUAACAGUUGUCACAACUGUUCCCAAGAGAGCUGUGGUUGUCCAGCAUGAGUUACUACCCAUUCCUGACUCAGUCACUGGCCAAGGGGAGAGAAUAUUCUUACUAGCAAAUCCUGGAUUUGUAUGUAAGACCGAGGAAGAAGUCAGCCCUGCCCUGUUUCAUGGACUGAACUCAAUUACUAUAGACUGAGAAAGAGGUUUUCCUGAUGCCAAAUAAUUGCAUUUCAGUGGAUUUGUUAUCCUUUUAUUAAGCAAGAAAAUAUUAAGUGUUUUCUCUAUAUGCGAUUUUACUUUGUAGAAGUUUUUUGCCAUUAUUUCAGUACGUGCUUCUUGUUCUACAUUUUUAAAAUGUUUCUGCAAAUUGUAUGUUUGUUUUUUUUUUUUGAGAUGGAGUUUUGCUCUUGUUACCCAGGCUGGAGUGCAAUGGCGCGAUCUCGGCUCACCGCAACCUCCGCCUCCUGAGUUCAGGCAAUUCUUCUGCCUCAGCCUCCUGAGUAGCUGGGAUUACAGGCAUGCGCCACCAUGCCCAGCUAAUUUUUUGUAUCUUUAGUAGAGACGGGGUUUCACCAUGUUGACCGGGAUGGUCUCGAUCUCUUGACCUCGUGAUCCACCCGCCUCAGCCUCCAAAAGUGCUGGGAUUACAGGCGUGAGCCACCGCGCCCGGCCACUUUUUUUUUUUUUUAAAUUCAGAAAUUCAAAAACACACUAAUGGCUACAGUAUAUAAAGCUCCAUUCUAGACAUAAAGGGAAAUUCAAGAUUAGAAGAACACAUGGUUCUACUUACACACUAUGUAGAAUAUACAAGUAUACAAAUCUGUCUAGGCUCUGGUGAGAGUACUUUCACUACAGGAAAAUGCGGGGCAGACCACAAGGAGCAGGGGUGGUUCCGGCUCUCCAGAACCCCUAGGUGGUUUUUGUGGUUCCUUUUCCUGAACUUGGUAUAAUGCUUCUAUUAACAAAGAGGAUGUACCUGCAGGUAUAUUGUCAGAAACCACUGCCAGAAACACAAAACCACACAGGCACAAAACAAGACAGCUAAAGCAGUUUCGUCCACUUUCCUCCUGUGUAUCCUGCCUCCUGCUGUGAAGUAACUUUCAAAAUUGUAAUAAUUCACCAGUGCCCGAUUAUACAGACCCUAGAGUUGCUUCCCUCGAAUUGCCUUACUCCAAGGCAGGAAAGGAUCAGAGAGGCUUCUUCCAAAUAUGACCUUAAUAAAGAUUUCCCAAAGAUCGUUUUCCUGCUGUGAACAGCCUGAUCCAGAGGAUCAACCUGAGGAAGCGGCGGGACUCUCUCAUCCUGGGGGGUGUUAUUGGGAUCUGUACCAUCCUGUUGCUCCUGUAUGCGUUCCAUUGAUGGGACAUCUGCAGGGACUCUUGACUACCACCACUUUGACGCCAUGGUCUGGAAUAAGGCAACAUCGGAGCGAGAAGUUGACUGUCUUGAUAAUUAGCCUGACCGGCAGGAAGAAUGCAAGACUGACAGUGAUGGACUCUGUGACAUGGUCAGGUUGAGCUGAAGCCACAGUUUUUCUGUGCUGUCUUUUCUAACAUAUUUUUCUGUUUUUAAUUUAAAAAACAAAAAGGUUUUCAGUUGCUUUUGUCUCCCCAGGAGGCAAGUAAACCAAUCAAAAACAGAGUUUUCUUUGUUUCUGUGAUAGUGUUGAAACCUGAUGACAAGCCAGGUUUUACAGCUGGGCUCUUCAGAAAACCAGGUUUUCUACAUCCAAAGACUGCUUUUCUUUUACUCACCAGAUUGGAUUGUGAAUAACAAUAAUUCUUGUCCCCUUAUUUUACACUCAUGAUGAGAAAUCACAAGUUCUUUCUUGAUGAUCUGUGCUAUAGAUUUCUACUCUGUCUCCUCAACUCUGUUGAUAUUUGAGGAAAAUUCUGUUUUUCAUAGAUUGUUUGAGAUGCUGAUGGACCAACUUCAGCAUGUUUGAGGUUGUCUGAAAUGGAGAACACUGUAAAACUCUCUCUUUUUUCUUUUAAAUUACGAGUACAGUGGGGUUAACUGUAUUGCUGGAAAAACAUCAAGAACGACAGUCUUUUAUUUAAGGCACCAGUCACUGUUUCCAUUUUUUUAACACUUUUCCUUUGGAUUGAUAUUUUCCACUGAAAGGAGGUGAAAUCUCAGUUCCGCUGUGAUAGAAGAAAACAAUCACCAGGGUCUGUAAUUGUCCCCACUGUUCUCAUCAGACCAGGAUUGACACUGGGAACUGAGGAAAGGGACUGCUCCAUUUCUAAUGUGAUCUGUUCAAAGCCACACAGAAAAAGGUAUUGAGAGCUCACUGUUCAGAGAAUUCCAUGUGUAAAUGCUCCACAAUGUAUGGGCAAAAGUUUAAGGACUACUGCCUGAUGUACCAGGAAUUCUGUGUCCUGUGAAAAUCUGUUCAUUCCAAAUCUGUUUACCAUUUCCAAACAUCCAGAGAAUGUUUUCACUGUUGAGGGUGCAUGUGGCAGAAUCUGCCUCUCUCUGCACCUGUCUUCUGUUACCAUCCGUGGACAGUGACAGAUUUUAAACCAGCCACCAGAAUUCUUUUGAGUUAACCAUUUCUUAGUUUCUGUAAAUUCAUGACUUGUCUUACUGAACUACCACCUGGUUUGUAGAUUUCCAACAUCUACACUGCUGCUCUUCACCAUUGGAAUUCACUGUGGUAUUUAUAGUAUUGGCUUCAGUCCGAGCCACAGGGAAUAAAAGGAUAUCAGCAUAUAGUUCUCAGCUACAUCAUGGUGUAUAGAUGCUGUUAUUCAGGUGAACUUGCUAAUGGUGGGCUAACACCUGGUUUGGUACAGAGACUGAGAGGUUUUUCAUUCUGGUGUCAAAGUUUUGUUACAUUAUGGGUGUGAAGGGCAUUUGAUAUAUUUUUCUUAACUAUGGGGUUUAUUUUUCUAAAUAUGGGUUGAUUGACUGUUCAUUGAUUCAGGGUACCCUUAAAAGAAAGUUACAUUUUCCCAUUGUGAACCUUAAAGGAUCAGGGAAGAAAGUUGAUUGAUUAAAUUCUCAGUUGGGAGAACAAAAGCUUUUCUCCUCUGAUACUUUAUUAUCUUUGAUUUUUCAAAGGGCCUUGAUUGGUGGUUGUGUCUCGGUUAGAAUUUAUGGGACUUUGCUUGCUAUGUAGUUGGCAUUUAUAAAAUUUGAAGUAUCAUAAAUAAAGUUAUUUAUUUAAUUAUA